rnacentral:rRNA from 1 species
GAGUUUGAUCGUGGCUCAGGAUGAACGCUGGCGGCGUGUCUAAUACAUGCAAGUCGAGCGAAUGGAUUAAGAGCUUGCUCUUAUGAAGUUAGCGGCGGACGGGUGAGUAACACGUGGGUAACUUGCCCAUAAGACUGGGAUAACUCCGGGAAACCGGGGCUAAUACCGGAUAACAUUUUGAACCGCAUGGUUCGAAAUUGAAAGGCGGCUUCGGCUGUCACUUAUGGAUGGACCCGCGUCGCAUUAGCUAGUUGGUGAGGUAACGGCUCACCAAGGCAACGAUGCGUAGCCGACCUGAGAGGGUGA